CAAACACGACCUGUUGCUGCGGUCAAGAAACAGAACUGAGGUACUUGGCUGCUGGUACACCAUGCUUUCUUUGCCAAAUCCCACAGUCCACUGCAGUGCAUGGAAUAGUUGAUAAAGUCUCGUAAUCGUACAGUGAGACAUGACUUAAGGGGGGGACGAUGUUGCAUGAACAUUUACUUACUCCCGUGCUUUAUAUUCUGAUAAACACACAUUUCUCAUGAAUCUUCCAUGGCAUGUAAGUCACCUUGGGAUCAUUACCUUGUUUUGCAGCACCUGCAAGAACAAUACUGUUUGUCAGCAUGAAUGAUUUCACUAAUGUGAGAAGCGAUUCCGGUUCAGUUGCAGAGGCUAUGAUAAAAGAGUGUACAAGAGUACAGUGUGACAACGUGAUGUGGUGAAAUCUACAUGACAGUAGCACUGUGCAGCAGACACAUAGACACGUGCGUGUGACAAAAGAAGGCUAUGUUGGCAGGAGGUGGCACAACCAAUGACAAGGUUGUCAGGUUCUAGGCUGAAACACGAGAAUGCUGGCAGCGUCUAAGUUCCCAGACGUUCUUGGAAAAACCUUGUGCACAUGGGUUUCAGGCGCUCUUGCUGUUCCAGUUCCUAGGAAUUCCCAAACCUCUCUGUGGAGGAUGGAAAUUACCGUCAAAGUUGGUGAUAUGCUUUCAUUGUUGGCUGCAGGCCACAGGACCACUAAGGGUGCCAAGUGAAAGCCACCGUGGUAGCUGCAUGGACAGAUCUUCCAGAUUUCACUUGGAGGCCGUCUACCUGCUAUGACUAAAAGCUGCCGACUGUGACGUUGUGUGCAGAUUCAUCACCCUAUCCACAUCAACGAAACUGUGACUGAACAGUGCUUUUGUUUGAACAUUAUAUCGGAAUGUUGCUGGUACACCAUGCUUUCUUUGCCAAAGCCUCAUUCUUUUGUGUUCAAGGUGCAUCCAAUUCUUUUUUAAAAUUUCUUCCUUGUGUAAGAACUUCUCGUUUCUCUGAAAACUGCAUUCAUGUUUUCCUGUUUCGAGGCUGUGCCUCAGUCAAACAAGGUAAUACUGCACAAACGUAUCACAAGGUGUAUUGUUGAAUAUUACAAUGCUGUCCUUUUGCAUAUGAGUUUCUGUGCGCAUUAAACUUGUUCUACACACACAGAAAUUCCAUAUACCUGUGUUCAGUUCAUAUGGGCUUCACAUUAUAAAAGUUUAAAGCCUUACAAGUGCAUGUGCACAAAUGGAAAGAGCCCAGUGGGAGAUGGGGAGCAACACCAGUGCUUGGUGCUAGUUCUUUACCCUGUUUGCACUAUAAUGUUCAUUUCACAUACCUUUAUCUCUUGGGUUAUAAGAAGUUUAUGCUGAAAUCUCUUGCACUCUUUUUUCUUACUUUGUGAAGCAAGCGGUGCACAAAAGUGAAGUUCCUUGGACUUCUGCUGAUGCUUGCUUGUGAAAUACGUACUUCAAAAAGUCAAGAGGAAGAACUCGAGAACAUCACCUGAUGCAAGAAAGUCCCAGCAGGGUUGGAUAUUUUGAAGACAGUUUUUGUGUUUCUAGCGUAGUGUUAUGGAAUUUGACAGAGUAAAGAAAUGCUACAUGGAACGCUGAUCCGUACCCUUCAAUACCCUUGGAACUCGUGCCUCUGAAGCCUGUAUGUUGUAUUUUAUUUUGUUAUGAAUAAUAAAGUGAACCAAUAAUUGGGCUUUCACUGAA